GCGGGUGUAGUUCAGCGGUAGAACGUCAGCUUCCCAAGCUGAAUGUCGAGGGUUCAACUCCCUUCACCCGCU
rnacentral:tRNA from 1 species